AAACAGCCCCCUAUGUUUUGAUUCUUUGGCAGUUUUGAACCCCCAGUCCAUUGUUAACUCGGUCAACGCUGACGUGGCACCCUAAGUGAGGUGCCAUGUGUCAAAUUUUUUAUUUUUUUUUGCCUUGGGGGUCCAAAACUGCCAAAGAAUCAAAACAUAGGGGGCUGUUU
rnacentral:pre_miRNA from 1 species